rnacentral:misc_RNA from 1 species
GUGAAUCAUCGAAUCUUUGAACGCAAAUUGCACUCCCUGGGAUGCCGGGGAGUAUUCCUGUGUGAGGGUCGUUAGAACAGAAAUCGAAGCGUCGCUCUUUUGUUUAAGGGUGAUCGCGUCGGAAUUGAGCCGUCUUUCGGAUGUUAAUUCAUUUCAAAUUGUCUUGAAGUUCAUCCAUCCGUUACGAUUAAAGCGUAUUUAAGAUCAACUUUGAUUAAGAACUCACUAUGAGCGUACCAUAUCAUGUAGUACGUUUAACUUGACGUCGUCAGG